GACGAACGCUGGCGGCGUGCUUAACACAUGCAAGUCGAACGGAAAGGCCCUGCUUUUGUGGGGUGCUCGAGUGGCGAACGGGUGAGUAACACGUGAGUAACCUGCCCUUGACUUUGGAUAACUUCAGGAAACUGGGGCUAAUACCGGAUAGGAGCUCCUGCUGCAUGGUGGGGGUUGGAAAGUUUCGGCGGUUGGGGAUGGACUCGCGGCUUAUCAGCUUGUUGGUGGGGUAGUGGCUUACCAAGGCUUUGCCGGGUAGCCGGCCUGAGAGGGUGACCGGCCACAUUGGGACUGAGAUACGGCCCAGACUCCUACGGGAGGCAGCAGUGGGGAAUAUUGCACAAUGGGCGGAAGCCUGAUGCAGCAACGCCGCGUGCGGGAUGACGGCCUUCGGGUUGUAAACCGCUUUCGCCUGUGACGAAGCGUGAGUGACGGUAAUGGGUAAAGAAGCACCGGCUAACUACGUG
rnacentral:rRNA from 1 species